ACGGCUGUCGGAGAGAAGGGAGAUGCAAGCAACUGUCCACUUCCCAACUUCGAUGUGUGACCGUGGAAUUCUAAAGACCAGUUCGUCGAGUUUUGUCAACAGGCGCAAGAGUUGAAGAUGGCGGCCGCGUGCGGAGCAGAGCAACGCCGGAAUUAUCACGACCUGGCGACUCAAGUCUCUGGAACCAUGUCAAGUACAUGUACACGCAGUUGCCGCAUCCCAAGUGAAUCUACCAUUCGACUGCCAUCACAGGACGGUCUCCGUCUGUACCAGCGACCGUGCUGCAUGUCGGAGGGAUACCGUAGUCCGCUCCGCUCCGUUUGUAUGACAGCGAACCAGCAGAAGACGGUGGCCGACUGACUGACACUUGACUGAUUUACGACUGUCGGCUGGAGCAUACGAGAAGAAUGCCGAGCCAUCGGAUCCACUCGGCAAACUUGCAAGAAAGCACCACUCCCUGCUCAAUACACAAUGUUUCGGGACAACCCGCUAUGCCAGGAAAUAGAUAUCACGGCGAAGGAUACCUUGGGAAACCAAUGCCAGUUUGCAUGGUCACAUGAUUGGUGAAGAACACGUCUCUGGCGAGGCCAAUUUCCAGGCAGCAUGAUAAUCGGCGUCUGAAAUCCUUCCAUCUUCAGUGCUCGCAUUCCAUCCUGAAGGUGAAUCUUAUCCAACAGAUAGAUAGCCGUACCUCCUCUCUACACUGAGUGUGCAGGAUGUGGGAUGAGCUGCAGGAGGUAGCGGGUAAAGUGAGAGUUUGCCCACAUUGAUGGCUUGGCCAUGUACCCCGAAUGCAGGAUUCUAACAUUAUCUCCUGUCACCUGGAUGAAUGUGUGCAAUUUGGCUGACUUGUAAAUAUUAUGCACCUCUCGUAUCCAUCCCACCACCCAAGGAAAUGGUGGUGCGGUGUUGCACAUUGUAGCCCGCA